rnacentral:misc_RNA from 1 species
UGGGAACUCCUUUCUCCUCAUUCAAGUCUUCGUACCCUGAGGUGUUUUGCAUCCACGAAGGGUUUGAGAUGUGCAACUCCUCGGGUCUUUGUAAAGGGACUACUGGCAUCUGAGGUCUAAACAUCAAUGGAGAAUGAGAAGCCCUAGGACUUGAAGGUGGAGAUUGACCCAUAAAUUCACCAUCUCUAGCAUCCAUAGUUUCUUGUAUCCCAACACUAG